rnacentral:tmRNA from 2 species
GGGGGUGAAUUAGGUUCGACGUGGGCAGGAAGAGCAUCAGAAGCGAGCCGAGGUCCCCGCUGCCUCGUUAAAUAAGUGGGAAAGCAAUAACUGCAAACAACAAUUACGCCUUAGCUGCUUAGUUCAGCUAACGCCGCUUGUUCCUUCCGUCUGUAAGCAACAAGGCCGGCGUCACAAUACAGACUACUCCUUCGGCACAGCCCGGGGCUGAUGGGGGAAAAUUACGGGCUGGUCCGUCCUUGCGGCCCGCUGCAAGGCUGAAGGAUGGACGAGAAUUGAAAUUGCAGCUGCGCUCGGAGAUGCUGGUGUGAUUUCGCUUGCGGACAGCGGUGCAACUCCGCUCACCUCCACCA